UACAGGGGGUGCAAACGUUGCUCGGAAUUACUGGGCGUAAAGCGCACGUAGGCGGAUACUUAAGUCAGGGGUGAAAUCCCGGGGCUCAACCCCGGAACUGCCUUUGAUACUGGGUAUCUCGAGUCCGGAAGAGGUGAGUGGAAUUCCGAGUGUAGAGGUGAAAUUCGUAGAUAUUCGGAGGAACACCAGUGGCGAAGGCGGCUCACUGGUCCGGUACUGACGCUGAGGUGCGAAAGCGUGGGGAGCAAACAGG
rnacentral:rRNA from 1 species